UACGUAGGUGACAAGCGUUGUCCGGAUUUACUGGGCGUAAAGAGCGCGCAGGCGGUCGAUCAAGUCGAGUGUGAAAGCCCCCGGCUCAGCUGGGGAGGGUCAUUCGAUACUGAUCGACUCGAAGGCAGGAGAGGGUAGUGGAAUUCCCGGUGUAGUGGUGAAAUGCGUAGAUAUCGGGAGGAACACCUGUGGCGAAGGCGGCCGACUGGGCCGACCCUGACGCUGAGGCGCGAAGGCGUGGGGAGCGAACGGG
rnacentral:rRNA from 1 species